rnacentral:rRNA from 1 species
UACGGAGGGUGCAAGCGUUAUCCGGAAUCACUGGGUUUAAAGGGUGCGUAGGCGGUUCGAUAAGUCAGUUGUGAAAUCUCUUGGCUUAACCAAUGAAAUUGCGAUUGAUACUGUUGGACUUGAAUUGGGUUGAGGUAGGCGGAAUGUGGCAUGUAGCGGUGAAAUGCAUAGAUAUGCCAUAGAACACCGAUUGCGAAGGCAGCUUGCUGGGCCCAAAUUGACGCUGAGGCACGAAAGCGUGGGGAGCAAA